UACGUAGGGUGCGAGCGUUGCCCGGAUUUAUUGGGCGUAAAGGGCGCGUAGGCGGUGAGACACGUUCGUUGUGAAAUCGCCCGGCUCAACUGGGCGGGGUCAGCGGAUACGGUCUCACUUGAGCAAGCUAGGGGGCAAUGGAAUUCCCGGUGUAGUGGUGGAAUGCGUAGAUAUCGGGAGGAACACCAGUGGCGAAGGCGGUUGCCUGGGGCUUUGCUGACGCUGAUGCGCGAAAGCGUGGGGAGCGAUCCGG
rnacentral:rRNA from 1 species